rnacentral:rRNA from 1 species
GGGAAUCUUCCGCAAUGGACGAAAGUCUGACGGAGCAACGCCGCGUGAGUGAAGAAGGUUGUCGGAUCGUAAAGCUCUUUCGUUAGGGACGAACGUGCUCUUUGUGAAUAAUGAGGAGUAAUGACGGUACCUAAAUAAGAAGCCACGGCUAACUACGUGCCAGCAGCCGCGGUACUACGUAGGUGGCAAGCUUUGUCCGGUAUUUCUGGGCGUAACGCGCGCGCAGGCGGGCUAUCAAGUCUGUCUUAAAAGUGCGAGGCUCAACCUCGUGAGGGCACUGAAACUGUGAUUCUUGAGUAUCGGAGAGCAGAGUGGAAUUCCAAGUGUAGCGGUGAUAUGCGUAGAGAUUUGGAAGAACCCCCGUGGCGAAGGCUACUUUCUGGACGAUGUCU